AACGAACGCUGGCGGCGCGCCUAAUACAUGCAAGUCGAGCGAGAAGACGUAGCAAUACGUUUGUAAAGCGGCGAACGGGUGAGGAAUACAUGGGUAACCUACCCUCGAGUGGGGAAUAACUAGCCGAAAGGUUAGCUAAUACCGCGUACGCUCCUUGGACUUCGGUUCAGGGAGGAAAGCGAUACCGUGGGUAUCGCGCUCUUGGAUGGGCCCGCGUCCUAUUAGCUAGUUGGCGAGGUAACGGCUCACCAAGGCAUUGAUGGGUAGCGGGUGUGAGAGCAUGACCCGCAUCAUUGGGACUGAGACACUGCCCAGACACCUACGGGAGGCUG
rnacentral:rRNA from 1 species